rnacentral:misc_RNA from 1 species
UUUCACAAUAUUUUUCCCUUUUUGUACACAAUUCAACAUUUCUCAAUUUUCCAAAUUCACAAAUCUGAAUUUUCUUUCAUAUAUUCAUCGUCAAGAUUUCAUCUUUACCUGAAACAGAGUUUUAUCCAUCCGAAAGAAACUAAAGCUAUUUCAAUAUAUCUCGAGUCUCAACAUAUCUGGUAAAGUUUUUUCACGUAUCCAAUACUCGAUGAAAACAAUAAAAAGACCCUUGUAGUCCGAUUCUUUCUUGAACCUCGUAAUUGCAGAAAGCUUAGUACGCCGACCUGCGUCUUUUCUCUUCUUAUUCAACACAUCAGGAAAAAAAGAACCAAUUUUUACAGAUUUCAUAACUCCAUAUCUGAAAUUGAGAUUUACCCAUUUGAAAGGGGCAAAAAGGGAGUAUAUCUGAAGUUUCAAUUUUCACAAAUAUACACAAAAGAUCGAAUCUUUUUUUUUUUUGCACAAUUAAUCAGCAACAGAAUGACUCUGCCAGCAUAAAAGCAUGAUAAUACAACGUCUGAGUAUGUAAAAUCUUGUUUUCUGUUGUUUCACCAUAGUCAAAGAUCGUUGCCGGAAUCCAGAUUUCCGGCAGGUUUGCCGGCGAGAAUCCGAUGAGGGAAAGAAAAACGAUGAAAGGCUCAUUGGCG